CUUCCACCCCUCACUGCAGGCUUAGACGGCACACGGCUGGCGCAGGAGCGGAGCGGAGGUGAGCAUGUGGUCGCACCGCCCACCGCCGCCAUAGCGUAGGCAUGCCAAGAAGUUGGUGAGGAAGAGAGCGGGUAGGGAAGGGGGUGCGGCAAGAAAGGAGAGACGGGGAGAGGGAGAGGUGGGAGGGGCCGCCGUAGAUCGAGCGGCUUUGGGUCACUCCUGGGACUUUGAAGAAGCGGCCACGUGGUCUUUGGGCUUCGUCUCCAUCUCCUAGUGGAGCUAGAAGGCCGGCAGGUGACCAACCACCAACGACGGACCCUUUCCUUCACGACGACGAUCGACGGUUCUGCCGAGGUGGCGCACACCGAGGCCGAGAAGGGCGGCAGGGCCCAGUGAGACCGGAAGGAGCACCGCGGGGGCGAAGCAGCGUGCGACUUAUUACCCCACACCCCCCGUGUGCUCGUGCGGUAGAGGCGCGGCAGCGACGACGGCGCCUCAGAGAGAGGGUAUCUGUUGCCGAUUCGUCAUUCGUGUACUGUACUAGUGGCGGCGCGAGACAAAACCUUCCACUAGCCCUAAGACUAAGUCACCGGUACCGGUCCUACUCGACGAAGAGGUAGGACGAGUGGCCGGCCUCCGUCUUUGCUCACGUCCAACCACUACGGCCGUUCCUACGACCUUGACCCUCGCUCGCGGUUUACCACUUCGGCCACCGCCACCUCAGAUGACUGCGCGACGGCCGCCAACGGCGACGGCACCACCUCUUUACGCCGCUGUUCUAGCAGCGGCUACACCACUAGCACCACCGCGUGUUCCCGCGGUCACUCCACAGCGGUCGUUCUAGCCUGUCAGACAGACUGCUGUAACUAAAGCUCAAGGUGGGCGUCGUGUUCAGGCAGCGGCAGCCGAGGCUGCAGGUCCCUGGCCUCUUCGUACGGCGACCGUGGCAGGGCCUGCGCGGCCACUAGCGCUCGCGGCCCCUCCUCCGACGCCGUCGCCUCCACCUCCAGCUGGGCAGCCGCUUCGAGUUCGCGAGCACGAGGUUGUAGCUCUGCUUCGCCGGACCGGGCUCCCUCCAGGGCCCGUGCGCCCACGCCAGCGCGAGGAUGCCGCUGGACGGCCCGCUGGAGAAGUACCAGUGGUGGUGCGCGGCGCGCGUGCUCCGCUCGGGGCUACGCAGCCACUUCUGCAGCGCGUGGCGGCUGCCGCACUACGAGUUCGCCGCCAGCAGGUCGGUCCACGACGGCAGCGCCUCGGCCUUCGACACCACCGCCGAGAAGGAGACCUCGGUGGCGUUGGACGUGGCCGGGACCAGCCGCGCGGGCUCGCUGCGGCUACGGCCGUGAGGGGCACCGCCCAUGUGCAGCCUGUGCGAGCUCCUUGGCCGGCUGGCGUUUUUGUUCUUCGGCUACCACCUGCUCAGCGGCGGCGUCGGCGGCAGCGUCUUGGUCACCCACCGGAAGACGCGGCUGGUGAGGGACUCGCUGGCGCAGUCGCUGACCCACUCGUCGUAGCUGUUGUCGCCCACGGAGGCGUAGCGGCUCCUCGUGUUGUUGCCACCGCUGGUACCGUACCUGGAGUGCCUGCUGAGGCACCGCGCGGGCGCAGGGUAGCUCCGGCCCCUCAGCAGCCCGUUCCCGGUGCCGUCCCGGUUCGCCACGCGCCGCCGCCUGCUGCACCGGGUCCGGUUGUCGUAGCAGGUCAGGGAGUUGCCGAAGAGCAGGCACCGCGUGUAGAGGCCGUACCCGGAGUUCCAGCACGGGUACUAGCGCGGGAAGAGGUUGGAGGCGCGGCAGUUGGAGAGGCCGUUGAAGUAGCAAGUAUAGAGCGGGCCUAGCGACGGCUUCCCGGACGUGAGCGACCUAGACAGCGCCUUGUUCUAGCGUUUGCAGCUCCCCGAGGCCCUCGACUGCUUCGACGCGCACGAGUUGGAGUCGAUGUUGGCCUAGAGCGCGUAGCCGGUGCCCGACAGCUUGACGUGCCGCUAGUCCCUCGACGUGGACCGCCCCUUGUUCUAGCCGCUGCACCUCCCCGACGUGGCCGACGACUCCGACCGCCACGACCUGGACCCGAAGUUGUCCGAGUGGUGCCGGUUCCGCGACCCGGUCGACCACCGGUUGAUGGUGAGGGAGGAGCGCGAGUUGGACCACCCGUUGGGGCACGUCCGGUUGCAGCCGCUGCUGCGCGACGCGUUCCGGCAGUGGCUGGAGGAGGGCGUCGAGCGUAUGGAGUUGUUCGUCGGGGAGUUCGGCGCCCUCUGCCGGUGGCUGUCGCAGCGCGCGCGCCGCGAGCCGUGCCCUCCCGCGUCCGCCCCCCGCAGCGCCGCGGACUCGGUCUCGGGGCCCAGUAGCAGCAGUAGCAGCAGCUCUUCGUCCAGGUUUCCGUCCGUCGUGGUGCCGAGCUCGUACUGCCGUUCCUUCACUUGUUACUAGUUAAGAAAAAUGAGGGUUGUUGUCUCCUGCGACGGUGUAACCAUAGGUUAGUCAGGAGCGGCCGGCGAACCGCCUCGCACAGCGGCGGAAGGACGACUAGUGUCACCCUCAACACACCUGAGCAUCUAACAACCUCUGGUAAACCCUCGUAGGUUCCACAGUUCUUUAAACGCUCCCAAACCUCAAACGGUAUUCUUGAUGGCCAUGGGUUCCCUCCUCGGGGCCGUACCCAACCAGCUGCGAGAGCCUGUUCUUCCCACUCUGCAGUCAACACCAACUCCCGUAAACAAAAGAGAUGGAGAAGCCGCCUUUAAUCGUAAGGAAACUCUUGUACUUGAACCCCUAUGUAGAAACAGAGGUGGUGAAACCAAUAGAGCGACGAAACACAAUAUGAUCUACUGGCCAACGCGGUUUGCCGUAUCACAGGACAAACUUUGGUACUCACGAAACCUUUAUUAACGUAAGCAAUCAUUGAAGUCUACACUCCUUGGUGAAUCCCAUGGUUGUGUUUGAGAAAAUUAGUUUUUUAUUCUUCCUAAAGAGAAAUGU
rnacentral:rRNA from 1 species